rnacentral:rRNA from 1 species
ACUACGGGGUGCAGCAGUGGGGGAUAUUGGACAAUGGGGGGAACCCUGAUCCAGCGACGCCGCGUGAGUGAAGAAGUAUUUCGGUAUGUAAAGCUCUGUCAGCAGGGACGAAAGAAAUGACGGUACCUGACCAAGAAGCCCCGGCUAACUACGUGCCAGCAGCCGCGGUAAUACGUAGGGGGCAAGCGUUAUCCGGAAUUACUGGGGGUAAAGGGAGCGUAGACGGUUAAGUAAGUCUGGAGUGAAAGGCCGGGGCGCAACCCCGGGACUGCUCUGGAAACUAUUGAACUUGAGUGCAGGAGAGGUAAGCGGAAUUCCUAGUGUAGCGGUGAAAUGCGUAGAUAUUAGGAGGAACACCAGUGGCGACGGCGGCUUACUGGACUGUAACUGACGUUGAGGCUCGAAAGCGUGGGGAGCAAACAGGAUUAGAUACCCCGGUAGUC